UGAGGGAAUAUUGGGUCAAUGGGCGGAAGCCUGAACCAGCCAAGUCGCGUGAGGGAAGACGGUCCUACGGAUUGUAAACCUCUUUUGUCGGGGAGCAAAGGGGCCACGCGUGGCAGGAUGAGCGUACCCGAAGAAAAAGCAUCGGCUAACUCCGUGCCAGCAGCCGCGGUAAUACGGAGGAUGCGAGCGUUAUCCGGAUUUAUUGGGUUUAAAGGGUGCGCAGGCGGCGCGGCAAGUCAGCGGUAAAAAUUCGGGGCUCAACCCCGUCCGGCCGUUGAAACUGCCGAGCUGGAGUGCGACAGAGGAAUACGGAAUGCGAGGUGUAGCGGUGAAAUGCAUAGAUAUCGCGCAGAACUCCGAUUGCGAAGGCAGCGUUCCAUGUCGUAACUGACGCUGAGGCACGAAAGCGUGGGGAUCGAACAGGAUUAGAUACCCUGGUAGU
rnacentral:rRNA from 1 species